CUCCAGGCUGCGGAUUUUAUUGAGAGAACGGAGACUGCUGGUGAACUCUCAAGAGGGUUAAUUGGAGUUUUAUCAAGCCAGAUUUCAUGGUGUCUGCUUAAUGUUAAUCUCUCCAAGCUUCCCACCAGACUGCAAAGGCUGAGCUGCAGUGUUCUGAAUAGCAGUCCAGCUAUGAGGGGAGGUGCCCGUGGCAGGCCUCAGCUGACCCUGGAGAGGCCAUUAAGACCUGGCUGUCGCCUCCACAGCUGCUCGGAGGCAGAGAAAGGUGGCUUUGUAAGAAGAAAAGAGAUCAUUCUUUUUCCACCAUGUGAGGACCCAGCAAGAGGGUGGCUGUCUGCAAACCCAGGGAGAGAGCCCUCACCAGGAAUCUGCUGGCACCUUAAUCUUGGACUUCCCAGCCUCCACAACUGUGAGGAAUAA
rnacentral:lncRNA from 1 species